GCAGGAUGCAUCAGGGGAGCCAUGUGAAGGCUCCGGCCUGCAUUACGGAUCAAGCUGGAGUCAGAAGCACUGCAGGCUUUCUGACAACACAGGUUGCUGUCCCCCAAUACCAUGCUAUGUGUAGAUGGAGAACCCGAGGCUCAGAAUCAGGUGUACAUACAAAGGCCCUUUGAGGACCCAGGAAAGCACCUAUCUAAAGUCAGGGAGAGAAACUUCUCCACAAACAAAUCCUGAUGGCUCCCAGACCAUGGACUUUUGGACC